AGCAGCCGCCGCGGUAAUACAGAGGGUGCAAGCGUUAAUCGGAAUUACUGGGCGUAAAGCGCGCGUAGGUGGUUCGCCAAGUUGGAUGUGAAAUCCCCGGGCUCAACCUGGGAACUGCAUCCAAAACUGGCGAGCUAGAGUAUGGUAGAGGGUGGUGGAAUUUCCUGUGUAGCGGUGAAAUGCGUAGAUAUAGGAAGGAACGUCAGUGGCGAAGGCGACCACCUGGACUGAUACUGACACUGAGGUGCGAAAGCGUGGGGAGCAAACAGGAUUAGAUACCCCGGUAGUCCCUGUCUCUUAUAC
rnacentral:rRNA from 1 species